rnacentral:rRNA from 1 species
UGGGGAAUAUUGCACAAUGGGCGCAAGCCUGAUGCAGCCAUGCCGCGUGUGUGAAGAAGGCCUUCGGGUUGUAAAGCACUUUCAGCGAGGAGGAAGGUGGUGAACUUAAUACGUUCAUCAAUUGACGUUACUCGCAGAAGAAGCACCGGCUAACUCCGUGCCAGCAGCCGCGGUAAUACGGAGGGUGCAAGCGUUAAUCGGAAUUACUGGGCGUAAAGCGCACGCAGGCGGUUUGUUAAGUCAGAUGUGAAAUCCCCGGGCUCAACCUGGGAACUGCAUUUGAAACUGGCAAGCUAGAGUCUCGUAGAGGGGGUAGAAUUCCAGGUGGUAGCGGUGAAAUGCGUAGAGAUCUGGAGGAAUACCGGUGGCGAAGGCGGCCCCCUGGACGAAGACUGACCGCUCAGGUGCGAAAGCGU